rnacentral:rRNA from 1 species
GAUGAACGCUGGCAGAAUGCUUAACACAUGCAAGUCAACUGUGGCUGACUGGUGAGUAACGCGUAGAGAACUUGCCUCACAGAUAGGGACAACAUUGGGAAACGAAUGCUAAUCUCUGAUACUGUGAGAGAGCUUUGCGUCCCAUUGGCUAGUUGGGGAGGGAACGGCUCACCAAGGCGAUGAUGGGUAGCCGGCCUGGGAGGUUGAGCGGCGACAAGGGGACUGCGGAACGGACCUUACGCCAACUGGAGACAGCGGUGGGGAAUAUUGGACAACUGACCAAAGUCUGAUCCAGCAAUUCUGUGUGGAAGAUUAAGUUGUCGGAAUAUAAAGUGCUUUCAGAUGAGAAGCGGUACCAACAGAAGAAGUGACGGCCAACUACGUGCCAGCAGCCGCGGUAAUAC